rnacentral:tRNA from 1 species
GCCGGGAUGGUGGAAUGGCAGACACCCAGGACUUAAAAUCCUGUGCUCCUUGGAGCGUGCGGGUUCAAGUCCCGCUCCCGGCA